GACGAACGCUGGCGGCGUGCCUAAUACAUGCAAGUAGAACGCACAGUUUAUACCGUAGCUUGCUACACCAUAGACUGUGAGUUGCGAACGGGUGAGUAACGCGUAGGUAACCUGCCUGGUAGCGGGGGAUAACUAUUGGAAACGAUAGCUAAUACCGCAUAAUAUUAAUUAUUGCAUGAUAAUUGAUUGAAAGAUGCAACUGCAUCACUACCAGAUGGACCUGCGUUGUAUUAGCUAGUAGGUGAGGUAACGGCUCACCUAGGCGACGAUACAUAGCCGACCUGAGAGGGUGAUGGGCCACACUGGGACUGGGACACGGCCCAGACUCCUACGGGAGGCAGCAGGAGGGAAUCUUCGGCAAUGGACGAAAGGCUGACCGAGCAACGCCGCGUGAGUGAAGAAGGUUUUCGGAUCGUAAAGCUCUGUUGUAAGAGAAGAACGGGUGUGAGAGUGGAAAGUUCACACUGUGACGGUAUCUUACCAGAAAGGGACGGCUAACUACGUG
rnacentral:rRNA from 1 species